rnacentral:lncRNA from 1 species
UAGGGGUGUGCAUCGGUCAGUUCGGUUCGGUACCGAAUCGAAUCGGCCAAAACCGAUUUAACCGAAUUUUUUCAAAUUGUAGACCGAACCGAACCAAAUAAGAUAAAGAACCGAAUUGAACCGAACCGAAUUGGUUCGGUUCGGUUCGGUUCGAAAUCGGUUUUGAUCUUUUUCUCUAAUUUUAUUGAAUUAUAUUAUAAUUUGGGCAAGAAUUGAUUUGAAUCUAAUCCAAUCAAUUAAUCACAAAAUCCAAUCAAUUAAUCACAAAAUCCAAUCAAUUAAUCACAAAAUCCAAAUUAAUCAACAUCUUCUAACCUAAUAUACUUAAUCAAAUAUAAUAGUUAAAUUAUAAAAUAAUUCAUAACAGCAUCAAAAUAUAACAGUAAGUAAUUUACCACGAUUGUGCAAGGGAGAGAUGCGAGCGACGGCNNNNN